rnacentral:rRNA from 1 species
UACGGGAGGCAGCAGUAGGGAAUCUUCCACAAUGGGCGAAAGCCUGAUGGAGCAACGCCGCGUGAGUGAAGAAGGUUUUCGGAUCGUAAAACUCUGUUUAAGGGAAGAACAAGUACAGUAGUAACUGGCUGUACCUUGACGGUACCUUAUUAGAAAGCCACGGCUAACUACGUGCCAGC